AUUGAACGCUGGCGGCAGGCCUAACACAUGCAAGUCGAACGAGAGGCGGACGGGUGAGUAAUGCUCGGGAACCUGGCUUAUGGAGGGGUAUAACGACGGGAAACUGUCGCUAAUACCGCGCACCAUAGGAUGAGCCCAAGUGGGAUGAGGUAGUUGGUGGGGUAACGGCUCACCUAGGCGACGAUCCGUAGCUGGUCUGAGAGGAUGACCAGCCACACUGGAACUGAGACACGGUCCAGACUCCUACGGGAGGCAGCAGUGGGGAAUAUUGCACAAUGGGCGCAAGCCUGAUGCAGCCAUGCCGCGUGUGUGAAGAAGGCCUUCGGGUUGUAAAGCACUUUCAGCGGGGAGGCGUUACCCGCAGAAGAAGCACCGGCUAACUCCGUGCCAGCAGCCGCGGUAAUAC
rnacentral:rRNA from 1 species